rnacentral:lncRNA from 1 species
CUAAUUAGUUUACAAGGUGCAGUGGCUAGUCUAAACUGUUAUGUCAAACUGUCAAUACCUAGAAUCCAUUUUUUCCCCCUUACAGAAACACUCAACCAAACAUUCAGUGGAAAAAAGAAGAAUGUGAAGGACAACUCUCAUUCAGCUGUUAUUCCUACGCUGUGUAAACUGGGUGACAAAGGAGAGAUGAGAUUAUAUCAGCUUUUUAAUAAGAAAUCUAAGGAGCAUCUUUCUCAGACCAGCUCAACUCCUCAGGCUGGGGACGGAUGAUUCGGAGUGAUUGGUUUCCCGUGGCUCGGCCGUGGCCGCUGCUGUCCCCACGUGCUCCUCGCUAAUCAGCUGCAAGGUGAGAAGUGUUGGCUUAAACCGCCUUCAUGAUUACGAUCUGGAGACAGAAGUUCAAAUAUCAGGUACAUUAAGGCACAGGAUUGAAGGCCACUGGGUUUCCCAUUAGGGAACCUGAGCUGCUCUGUG